GUACACACACACACACACACACACACACACACACACGUCUGUUUGUGAAGCGAAAGAAUCAGGGGAAUCUCUCAGGAGGAAAACAAAAAGCCCCAACACCGCAGUGAUUGAGAGACUUAGGGGACGACUGCAAGAAGAUCUUAUACGUACGAACUGCCUUUUUCUGUCUGUUUCAUGAUGUGAUUCUAAAGAAGGUUUCCAUGGUUCUGAAUUAAUAACAAGCUGAUUUUCAAGUAGCGCAGAAUGAUGCACGUGCCCGGAGAUUGUAGCGGGCAUGCCAAGGGGCAGGAAUGGCUGCAAGGGUUAGAUGGUCUGUUCUGUCUACACUUUGCACACACACAUUUGAUUUGUUUUGUUUUUAACGUAGUGUGGAUCCCCGGAACUGAUCCCCAUGCUGUUAAGACACAGACUUGGUGCUGCACAUGGGAUCCUCUCUCUGAUGACUGUGGCUUUCGUUCUUCCAGUGGCUUCUGGUCUACAAUGCUACGGCUGCAAUAUUAUCGUUGGCACAAAGUACGUUGACAUGGGCUGCUCCAACCCAGAAGUGAUUACCUGCUCCCAUUCUCACCAGGGCUUCAAACACCGGUUCUGCAUUAAAACGGAAAGCGUGGUGCUGGGAAUCCUGCUGACUAGUGGUUGUGCCACAUCCCGUCACUGCCAACAGCAGGAGCUGCCGGGUGUGCGGAUCCAUUGCUGUGACACGGAUCUGUGCAAUGGCUCCCCGAGAUCUGCCCUCCCACAUUAUACCCUGUCCAGCUGCUGCCUCCUGGUGUCCUCGGUCAUUAUGACCUUCUUCCUCCUCUGAGAG
rnacentral:lncRNA from 1 species